rnacentral:lncRNA from 1 species
GGAGGUAAAGUUGAAGACAAGGAACGGAUCCCCAUCACCAAGCAGGGCCGCCUGGUUAAGAACUUGAAGAUCAAGUCCUUGGAGAUCUGCCUGUUCUCCCUGCCCAUUAAGGAAUCCAAGAUUAUUGACUCUUUCCUGGGCGCAUCCCUAAAGGAUGAAGUUCUGAAGAUCCUGCCAGUGCAGACGCAGACUCUGCUGGCCAACGGACCAGACUCAAGGUUUUUGUCACUAUUGGAGACUACAGUGGUCACGUGACAUUGGUGUUGGCUUUAGGUGAUCCAAGGAGGUAGCCACUGCCAUCUGAGGGACCAUCGUUUUGGCCAAGCUCUCCAUCACCCCUGUGCAGAGAGGCUAUUGGGGCAACAGUGUUUGCAAGCUGUAUACUGUUCCAUGCUAGGUGACAGGCUGCUGUGGCUCUGUGCUGGUGCGUCUCAUCCCUGCCCUCAGAGGCAAUAGCAGUGUCUCUGCACUGUGCUGAAGAAGCCCCUGAUGGUGGCCAAUAUAGAUGACUGCUGCACUUCAGCCAGGGGCUGCGCUGCCAGCUUGGGCAACUCUGUCAAGGCCAUCUUUGAUGCCCCCUCCAUGACCUACAGCUACUUGACCCCUGACCUCUGGAAAGAAACUGUUCAACAAGUCUCCUUAUCAGGAAUUCACUGA